rnacentral:rRNA from 1 species
GACGAACGCUGGCGGCGUGCUUAACACAUGCAAGUCGAACGGAAAGGCCUCUUUCGGGGGGUACUCGAGUGGCGAACGGGUGAGUAACACGUGAGUAACCUGCCCUUGACUUUGGGAUAACUUCAGGAAACUGGGGCUAAUACCGGAUAGGAGCUCCUGCUGCAUGGUGGGGGUUGGAAAGUUUCGGCGGUUGGGGAUGGACUCGCGGCUUAUCAGCUUGUUGGUGGGGUAGUGGCUUACCAAGGCUUUGACGGGUAGCCGGCCUGAGAGGGUGACAGGCCACAUUGGGACUGAGAUACGGCCCAGACUCCGACGGGAGGCAGCAGGGGGGAAGAUUGCACAAUGGGUGGAAGCCUGAUGCAGCAACGCCGUGUGCGGGAUGACGGCCUUCGGGUUGUAAACCGCUUUCGCUCAUGACGAAGCUUUGUGUGACGGUAGUGGGUAAAGAAGCACCGGCUAACUACGUG